ACGAACGCUGGCGGCGUGCUUAACACAUGCAAGUCGAACGGAAAGGCCCUGCUUUUGUGGGGUGCUCGAGUGGCGAACGGGUGAGUAACACGUGAGUAACCUGCCCUUGACUUUGGGAUAACUUCAGGAAACUGGGGCUAAUACCGGAUAGGAGCUCCUGCUGCAUGGUGGGGGUUGGAAAGUUUCGGCGGUUGGGGAUGGACUCGCGGCUUAUCAGCUUGUUGGUGGGGUAGUGGCUUACCAAGGCUUUGACGGGUAGCCGGCCUGAGAGGGUGACCGGCCACAUUGGGACUGAGAUACGGCCCAGACUCCUACGGGAGGCAGCAGUGGGGAAUAUUGCACUAUGGGCGGAAGCCUGAUGCAGCAACGCCGCGUGCGGGAUGACGGCCUUCGGGUUGUAAACCGCUUUCGCCUGUGACGAAGCGUGAGUGACGGUAAUGGGUAAAGAAGCACCGGCUAACUACGUG
rnacentral:rRNA from 1 species